rnacentral:lncRNA from 1 species
GGGAGCGGCUGACCUGCCUGCCUCGCUGCCUCGCCCGGAGGAUGAGGGCCUGACCAGGGAGCCCGUGUGGGAGGCUGCUUGGUGAAAUUCAGCGUGUGGCUCUGGGGCUCUGGGCGCGUGGCUCUCUCUCUAGGAUCCGUUUCACCAUCUGUGAAAUGGGCUUAUGAUCAUGCCUCCCUCACAGCGUCCUCGUAGAGCGGCUGACACAAAGCAGGGGUCAGUCGGAGGCAGCUGCUGUGGCCCCGCCACAACAUCCAACAUGAACUCUCAACUGGAAGUGAAUCAUCACCUCGCUCUCAGCACAGCCACAGAACACAGUCUUGAUCUCCGCGGAUACAGCUCUAGAUUCACGCUGGCAUCCUUGUUGCUGAAAACCUACCCCAGAGAACAUGUGUAAAAUGCAAGUGAUUCUCCCUGAAUUCACAUCAUCAUUGAUUUCUGUACAAAGAACCCUUUAAUAUUACUUAUUUGGCACUUCCCAGCAUAGAAAGACAAGAAGACACGAUGUCAGACCUUGCAGAAAAUAUCCCUAACUAGAGAGGACCCUUGGACACGCACAGGAGGGGCUGAGGAAGAAGAGUGGGGGAAGCAUCCUGAGACUCGGCCACAAGUCGCCGUGGACGCCGCCCUCUCCAUGCACGCGGCACUGCCAUGUCUACGGGCCGCCCCCCAUGCUGGGAGCCGAGGCACCGAGGGCUUCACUGAAGCCUCUGUCCCUAGGGGUUCAUGGCCCAGCUUGGAACAGGCAGGCUACAGGCCGCUGUCUGGUUGGAUGUGUCGGGUUGGAUGUGUCUGGUUGGGCUCGCAGAAUGUUUUUUAAUGCCACGUUAGAUAUCAACAUCUAAUAAUCAGAUAAUUAAAAAUGAAAAUAUGAACUUUUGGCUACUCUAUGACUGGCAACUGUGGGCCAAAACCGCCCCGCAGAGCCCCGGUUGGACUGAGCACAGCCCGGGCGCUGCCCUACCCAUGCCCGCGCCCUCCUGGACACCAGCCCCGUCUUUCUGCUGUCUGAAAGCCCCCACGCCUGCCUCUUAGGCCACUCUACCAGUCAUGAUUCUCCUCAUGUAAAGAAGUAUGUAAUGAUUUCUUCUGUGUGUCUCUAGUUCUGAAUUUAUGAACAAUAAUGCCUUAGCCAUAAAGACUCUAUUUUUAAAAAUUGCUUUUAGUGCUUCGAAGGCUUAGAAAAUCUACAGGCAGACUUUUAAUUAACCAAAGUAAUAUCUAUCAAUUUUUAAAAUGGAGAACCAUCACUCCAAUUGUACCACCCUGGCACAAGCAUCAUUAAUGUUUAUUUAUAAAUCUGUUUAGUGUUUUAUUGCUGUGUGUACUAUGUAUUUUAACAUAGAUAUUAACUAUAUUGCUGAUGCAAUUUGGUGUUCUGUUUCUCUCAUUUAACAUAUAUUUUGCAUACUCAUGAAUAAAAUUUUAAGACUGCUUACAUUUUCUUUUAAGUAUCCGUUCUGAAUUUACGUUCCUAUUCUGUUAGGUAGUAGAGUUAUUCCCAAAUUUUCCCUCUUAUAACCAAUGUUCU